GAGGGGGACGAGCCAUAAGGCGAGCAGCAGGAGCGGUGCUGCUGGAGAACAGUUCGCCCCAUUGAGGAGGGGGCAGGAGCUGAAUUGGGAAUGGAGAAAUGACCCCAGCGGGAGCACGAGGAGACUGCAGGUGAAACGCAAAACUUUGGGAGCUGUCUGGCCAGGAUGAGAGGUGUCAAUUCUCAUACGCUGCAGGAGGAGAGGAUGGGCAGAGCAGAGGCCCCCGCACGCAGCCAGGGUAGCUGGGUAACCACAGUGGUAAGGAACCUAUACUGGCUCCCUUUCCUUCAGGAAAUAAAACUGCUUUAUAUUGAAAGACUGCAUAUUUAUACUGCAAGUUUCUGUAAAGCACCGAAGCCAUCUCUGACAGACUUUUAAAGUGUAUUUCUUUAGCAAACAUAUUGGAUAAAUCUUUAGGAAUUUCUAAGGUUUGAAGCCUGGGAAGGGCAAAUAAAUUUUUCUGGAAGGUUGCUGAUCACUGAUCUCAUAAAAUGGCUGCUCUGUCUGGCCUUUCCAGACAGAGAAAACCAGGCAGGGAUAAGAUGCACUAAGAGGAUGAAUUAAAAAAACAUCCCUUUGGAAUACAAGCAGUACUGAUGCAGGGAUUUGCUCUCUCCAGACAGUGACCUGAAGCCAAGAUAGCACAGAAGAGACACAUUGAGGUGUUUUUUCUCUUUUCCCUCAUCUGUCACUUCAGGAGACCUCAUCUCCAAAACAGUCCAGGCACCAGGAAUACUGUACACAGAUCUCAGCACGACUUCCAGCUGGGCAUGGAAUCCAACCACAAACUGAAUAAGCAAUUUUUCUAUUUGAUCAGCAGCAAGGGACAUCAUAUUUUGUUCCAGUGCCAGAGACAUUUGAAUUUAAAUAGAAAUAUGUCAGCAAUACCUUAGGUACAUUCAUAGCAUUAUAGAAGAUCACAGAAUCAUUAAGGUUGGAAAAGGUCUUUAAGAAAUCUAGUCCAACUGUCCACCUACCACCACCAUUACCCACUAAACCAUGUCCUUAAGUACUACUACAUCUACCCUUCCCUUAAAUACCUCCAGAGAUGGUGACUCCACCACUUCUCUGGGCAGUCUGUUCUGAAUUCUUUUGCUGCAUCCCUUCCUGAGUGCUGUGCCUGCCUUCAAUUGUAACUAGUUCAGAGCAAGGAAAAAAAAUCUUGCCAAAUAACUCCAAGAAAAAAAAAAAAUCAAACAGUUAAAAAGUGAAGGUUCAUCUAGUGUUUUUGCCCCUUGGUAUGUCUGGGAUGAACACAGAUAAAUCUGUCCUUGGGCCUGAGCUUUCACAAGAGUUGGGACUUCUAAUAUUGCUGGCCUGUCCUUCCUGCUAACUACUUUCUGCACAGAAUAAAAUGAGUGCAUCAGAGUGGGAGCAAUUGUUACCUGCCAUGUCGCUUGUGACCAGAUCUAGUUUUUGUGGUGUCUCCUUCUCAUUAUUAUAGCUAAUGGUAAAUUCAGUUGACUGAUGUCUGGUGAAGGGCUGCUUGAUCUGUUUCCAACAACCUAUGAUAAAGAAAUAAGAAUAGAAGAUGUCAGAAAGUUAAAUGCUUAAAAUUAGAAGGCUUAUCAGAAUGUUAAGUUAAUUUAGUGUACUGAUUGCUGUCAAUAUACUUAACUACUUAGAAAGGAAGAUUAAAACAGGCUGUUAAAAAAAAAAAAACAACAACAAACCCCACAAAAACAAGGAAUCUCUGAGAUUCUCCAAGUAGAAACUAAGCCAUAGGGAAGGUUUUCUUCUUUGUUUUUCUUGGAAAGAAUGGCUUAAGUUAUAUCUUAAGGCCUAUUGGUAAAAUAUAAGCUUUAAGUCAGCAACAAUUUUUGCCACCAUUUUUGUAGCAAUGAUAGUGCUUGCAAUUUCUUUUCUUUGAAUUUUUCUUUCAGUAGCUGAGUAUAGCUUCCAUGUCCUUGGUUAUGUGAGCACCUGCACUUAUUUGUUCUCACAACAUCCCUGUGAGACAGAAGAGAGAAAAUCCAGUGUCAGUUCCUUCUCUGGCACCUGUAACAUGUGGUCUGUUGAAAGGUGGGUUCAACUCUCAGCUUGCUAAGUCCCAAACCUGGUUAGAUUCAGAGUCAUUAAGGAUGGAAAAGACUACUAAGAUCACAUAGUCCAACUGUCAGCCCAACCCCCAUCAUGCCCCUAAAUGCCACACGUGCACAUUUCUUGAAUACCUCCAGGGACAGUGACUCCACCAUCUCCCUGGCCAGCCUGUUCCAAUGCAUCACCGCUCCUUCUGAGAAGAAAUUUGUCCUGAUAUCCAAACUGAACCUCCCCUGGUGCAACUUGAGGCCAUUCCCUCUUGUCCUGUCACUGUUACCUGGGAGAAGAGGCCGAGCUCCACCUCACUAUAGCCUCCUUCCAGGUGGUGGUAGAGAGCAAUAUCAUCUCCCCUGAGCCUCCUCCAAGAUAAUUAAUUGUUCCCUCAACUGCUCCUUAGGUGUUCCAGACCGCUUACCAGCUUUGUUGCCUUUGUCUGGAUGCACACUGGGGUCUCAGUGUCUUCCUGGUAGUGAGGAGCCCAAAACUGAAUGCACUACUCAAGGUGCAGCCUCACAAGUACUGAGUACACAGGGACAAACAACUCACUGCUCCUGCUGGCUGCACUAUUUCUGAUACAAGCCAGGGUGUCAUUGGCCUUCUUGGCUACCUGGGCACACUGCUGGUUCAUGUUCAGCUGGCUUUCAGCUAACAGCCCCAGGUCCUUUUCCUCUGUGCAGCCCCCCAGCCACUGUCCCAAACCUGUAGUGUUGCACAGGGUUUUUGUGCAGGACCCAGCGCUUGGUCUUGUAGAGGCUUACACAACUGGCCUUGAGCCACCAAUCCAGCCUGUCCAGAUCCCCCUGCAGGGCCUUCCUACUUUCAAGCAGGUCAGCAUUUCUUCUGAACUUAGUGUCAUCUUUAAACUUAUUGAGGGUUCACAGUGUUUAGAAGCUUAAUUUGUGAAGCAUACACUACAAAUGAACAGAGUGGAUAAGAGGCUAUCUCCAAUUUCAUGGGAUUUGUCCUCAUUAGCAAGUGAGAAAGGAUUUUGAUGUGACCUUGAAAAAUCAUAUUAGCAACUAUGAUGUUGAGUACAAAUUAAUUUUCUAAUGAGGGUGAGCUGAAAUGGGUAACAAAGUUCCUUUCCCUGAUGCCAGCACCUGCUGAGGGAUGAAAUUUUGGAGCUGAGCUGUUGCAAGAGACGUGUGAAUUAGUGAUUUCUUUUUAAUGGAAAGCUGAGUUUCAGAAGACUAUUCCUCUGCAGAAUUAGCAAGCCAGGAAAAAGCAGCUGAGCUCCAACUUCCAGGCUGAGAGGAGGCUGCUCUAGAAAGCAUAAUUAAGCACAAGAAGGUAUGUUACUGCACCAGGGUUUGCCGGCAUCUUCUACAGCAGAGACCUCAAGGCAAUCCUCUAUUCUGAUUUUACAUGUGAAGUACAAUUCAGUUUUGUUAGGCUUUAUUAAUAUAGUCUCAAUUAGGGAGGGCAGCAAAAUGGAGACACUGAAGCCAUAAAAAAAUAGCAUUUGCUGUCUUGGAGAAUGGCAAUCCUCUCUGCUGUGGGGGAAAAAAAAAAGGAAAGUAGCAAUUUUCUGCAAAAUAGGUGUUUUGGAGGAGGGAAGGAAAGGAAAGGCACCUGGGAGCAUUCUUACAUGAUCAUUUAUGAAUUUGGUGUAAUAGAUCUUUUGCUAAUUGCCUUUCUGUCAUAGAAACCAAAUUACUUUGUUUCUCUGGGCACUGUGCUGGGAUGACACAAGUGGGACUAUCGUUUGCCAUUUCCCUUGUAUGAAAUAGUGCAUUUGAAUGAGGAAACAUGGCUGCUCUUUCACACGUAGUGCAGAAAAUCCUGCCCAUUGGCCCAGGUGACAGGACAGCACAAAGCCCACCAUUCUCCACUAACCUGAUUUCUGAGCAUUGGAUAAUCCAUAAGAAAGUCCUUUGGCUUCUUGCCUGUGAGGAGAGGAAAGCAUUUAUAAACUUCUGCGCUCAUAGCAUUUCAUCGUCUUCACUCCUUCACUUCAGCAGAGAGUCUACGUGUUUAGCAGCUGAAAACAACUGCUCCCUUUUAGCUCCUGGAGGACACAUUUAUCAGACUGUAAGGCACACAAACCCGUAUUUCCACACUCGGUUGUUUCCCCAUCUGUGUGCAUGUUCUGAGUGCCGCUGUGCGAAUUCCUUCUGUCUGAAGGAAUUCCUUCAUGGACUUGAUGUGUGCAUGUCGUUAUAUGUCACUCUAGGUAAUGUUUUGGGCCUGUUCUUCUGAACCUUUAAGGAUUUUACUGGAAAUCCAGGGCGGAGGCAAGUACUGCUCAUGAUGAAACAAGAUCACCAGAGCUUUGUUUAUGCUUCUAGAUCCCUGGAUGCUGAUAGAUGCAUUUUCCUGUUCAUUCAAGGGCAAGCUCACAGGAAUGGACACCUACUUCGACCCAAAGUUAGCAAUGCUUCUUCCAAUUCUGACUUGUGAAAUAGAGUGGCUUAGUUUUAUCUACUUAACAAUGUAUGUGUGUAACUCCUUAUAGAUGAGGUGUGACUUUAGUCCGUGUCUUUAAUUGCCCUAAGUGGUGAGGAAGCAGAAAGACAACAGGAGGGAAAUGAAAUAAAAUGCUUCAGAUAGCUCAAAUGUUUCCUUCCCUGAAUUUUUGCUCAGCUUUGGUGUGCAAACUGUUCCAUCUUCAACUGCAUUACAUUUUCACAUUUGUGGGUAUGUGUAGGCUGAACAGAGCAGCCGGUUGCACUGGACUGCAAAUUGGGGUGUGUGGUUCUGAACCUGCUUCACCUUUGUUUUCCUCUGACUAGGGGAUGAUUAAGACAGACAAUUUACAGCAGCACGAGUUCUAUUUGGAAGGAAGACUUAAAAAAAGAUCAUCUAUUUCCAGUUUCCUGAUAAAGAGACUCUGGAAAGAGGGCACAUAUUUGAUUGUGCCAGCUAGGAUGCCACAAAUAUCUCCCAUGACAAAAGACAGUAUCUUACUUUCGUAGGGCUGCACAGAUACAAAUUCCAGAGAACAGGAACAGACACAGCACUAUGAGGACUGGGACAAUUAUAGCUGUAAGCUUUAAGCCUGCAUGGAAAAAAUAAAUGGAUAAAAGUUAAAAAGGCAGAUUACUCUGAAGACGGAUAUCUAUUCCUACAGAUGAUCUUGCAGGAACACUCCUCGUGGGAGAGCAUGAAAAUAGAAAACUAUACAACAGCAGAACUGCUCCUCAGCCAUACGCAGCUGCUUGCCGUGUACACGAGUGGAACGGUGUUGAGAAAUACUCUCGGUCUCAAGGCGGACGCUUGGCACAGUGUCUAUAAGCAUCCUUACACUGAGCAGUUUUCUUAUUACAUACUGGGUAACUUUUUAUAAAAAGCCACUUACAGCAAUGCUGUUUUCAGUUACUUUUGAAGCGCUAAAUGAAGCUGCAAUUUUCCAUGCUGAGUAUCUGGCUCCUGCUGAUCUGGCUGAAGCAUUUUAGUGAAAAUAAUUCAAAGAUUUCCAAGAUUUGAGCUAAGGAAGAAUGUUUUGCCUGGGUUAAAAAUGAUUUAGAACCGGGAUUUGGAAAUUAGCCAUGAGGUGGCUUUUGUGUCAGGGGCAUGCAUUUCACUAUUCCUGCAGACACUUUGAGAGUAAGGUAGUGCACAUGUCCAUGGGAUAUUUACAAUUUAGCAGAUAAAAUUUCAAAAUAUUUCAUUUUCAGUGAAGAUGGAUACAAUUUACCCAUACCACUGCACAGAUGAACAGAGUUUGCUCUUGGCAAGAAUAAUGCAGUUUCAGAAUAAUUUAUUAUUGUUUUUUUUUUUUUAAAUAAUGAUCACUUCUUAGAAACUCUUUGUUCACAGAGACAGUGCUACAGCUAUCAGCUCCCCAGCAGGUAGCAGUGUUUGGUGUGAUGGGUCCAUCAUUCCUGCCUGGCUAUGGAUCCGCCAGUCAGGUAGUAUAUACUACAAAUUUUAUUUGUUCGCUUUUUUAAGAUCUGAGAAUUUACCUCCACUUAAAGGAUGAAGAUUGCAAAUUAAGGCAUUGAGGGAGAAGUAUGAGAAUUAAGGUUGUCCGAAGCCCCAUGAACGUAAGUAUUAUGAAAAAAAUGUUUAAUUACACAAUCAUGCACUACAGUAUAUUGCUUAGUGCUGGGGAUCUGCUCUGAGAGGAGUUGUGGUUGCUUAGAGGGGAGGUAAUGCUUUUGUGAGACCACUGCUCCAUGUAUUACAAAAGUUAGGAAAUAGAGGGAGAGGGUGAGGAAGAAAAGAGCUCUUCCAAAAAUGCUACUGAUGCUCGGGGCGGUCAGUUGAGCCUACAAAGCAUGGCAAAUAACCAAUAUGUCAGGGAGAAGAAAGCCUGGUGUUACACCCAUCAAGAAAAAUUAAGGCUUUCAAUUUCUUUCUGUGCCUCAAGACAAAAAGAAGCCAAGCUCCUCCCUCCUCUCUCUGUAGCUAACCUUUAAAAAUGUCUGAAGGGAAAACAAAAGUUCUGAUUUGUGAGAAAGUUUACUCAGGCUGGGGUGAAGAUGUGAUGUAUCAUAGAAAAAAAUCAGUGAUCAGCAGUGUUACCUAAAUUGGUUUCUUCUGAUGGGAUGGGCUCUGUAACAGUUCUGUCUUCUUUUCCAAGGGAGGUUUCUGUGCUCUGACUUGUUUUUUGCCACAUUGAAUGUGUAAAUGAACUAUUCACUGCAAAAGAGAGCGGGGAAUGAGUUAUUCUGUGGUGACACAGCACUCCUUUGGAGCACCGUGCCUUGGAAGCACUGCUUACCCCAUACCUUGCAUUAUUCGACAACCAAUCAGCUCAAGCUUCAAUGCUAUCCGUUGGUUCCAAGACUGAGGAAUAAUUCGCACGUAACGGGCCACUAUUGGGGGGAUGAAAUUAUUACGUACGAUGUCACCAGAGUCGGAGUUGCCUUGGAAUACCUGCAACAAAACAAAAAUUGUGUUAUUUGCUGCGUUUCAAGAAUCUGCUUCUCAAAAGUGCUCCUGACUUCCAACUUCAAAUAUUUUUACUAUCCGAAAACUAAUGUAUCAGUCAUCUGGGACAUAGCCACAAGAUUCUGGGAAAUGGGAGCUCUGAAAAGAAUCAGUCUUUUUAAUUCUGGUAGACGAUUACCUUUCACUGUUAGCUUAGAGGGGAAAGAUUAUCAUUCUGUUUCUAUUCUCUGUGAUUUCUAGUUAAGGUAUGCUGGUAUAAUGCAACACUUUUGACUUAGUAGUGCUGCAAGGCCCUUAAUUGUGCAACAGGGAAUAUAAGUAUAAAAAGAAAAAUAACCCAACCAAAGCACUUAUUUAUUUAUUUAAAGUGAAAUAUUUCCAAGCAUUUAAGAAAAAAUGACCAUUAACCCUGCAGCUGCAUGUCCUUUGUUCUGUACUUCUUUGCCAGGAUCAGAUCAGCCUGUGUACAGAACAGGUAACCCUUGCAAUAUUAGUUCUUGGAGAUGCUUCAGCGUGGCCUAGGAGAAUGUAUGAGCCCAAUUAGAUGAGAAAGUGAGCUCAACAUAUCUGAGAUAAGACACCAGGCUACACAGAGUUCAGAUAGGACAAGUUUUGUCAUGUUUUUUGGUUGAAACAGAUUAUAUCUAGUAAUAUUUUCAUAGGAUUAUUUGUAAAUAACAAAUAACUGUGGAAAACUGCAAACCAGAAGAUUUUAAGUGGCUAGCCUUCACAAAAUUCACCUGUUAUGAAACUGAGUUUUUACUUCUUGGGACAACAUCCCCUAUGUCUAGCAUUUAGCAUUUAAAAAGCUUAAAGCAAUUAACACUGUGAAAUUCCUUUCUGUACAAGCUGAGGAAAUGGAAAUCACAGCCAGAAGGAAAUCUUUCCCCACGUCUAACAAGUUUUUAAAACCAUAGUCAAGACAGCACCAGGUAGAGCAUUACCAAGCUCCCUCAUAAAGGAUUAGUGAAGAUGAUCUAACUAAGAACGCUGUGGGAGCAGAAAGGCUUUUGUAUUUCCGUUUAAAAGGAAACAAGGGUUUUUCCCAGAAAAAUGUUAGCACACAAACUUGUGCAGCACACCCUUUGCCUGCAGGAGCCGGCUGCGCUGCUUUUAUCAGAUCAUUGUUGAGUUCAGAAUUUAUGAUAGCUGUUGUGCGGACAAUUGUGGGAUUUCUUUUGUUUCUUUAAGAGCAUUUACUUUAAGUGCAGAUACAUUGAUUCCUAACAGACUUGGGCAGUCAGAAGGGUCAUGCCAGUGUGGUGUUGGAAGUGGUGCAGUCCCUAGAAUGUUGUCCAAAGAGGAGCUCAGUCUGCAAGCGUAGAUAAGCAGCACUGAUAUUUAGCUGAGCUAAAUACUUCUCCAAAUAGCCUCUUGUACAGCUUUUUUUAAUCACCCUUUUUCAUACAAAUAGUAUAUGCACAUGCACAAGCCUCCGUAUGUAUAUCUCACAACUUCAGAAAGCCCUGGAUAUCUCCCUUGUUUCAACAAGCUCGCUAUCUACGCCACAGCUGUAAAUUACGCUGGUGAAGACAACCCAAGUCUGGACAAGUCUGAAGCUCCUGAUCUUUCUUGUCAGUGAAAGUCUGUCCUUCAAUGUCAAGGCAGCACAUAGAUUUUUUUCUCUGUGCUUUGCUACCACUCCCAGUUUCCCUUACCUUUUCUUCAUUGCUUAGAAUUCCUCUGUAUGUUCUCCAUUUCGAGUUGUUAUUUCUGUAGUUCAAUAUAAACGUCUUUACAUAGAAAUUAAAAUUCUGCAGAGUGGAUCCAGAACCAGUGGUUUUGAUCCCUUUGAAUGAAAUGCAGAAUAUAUUUUCAUAUUAGGUUUCUUUUUUCAAUGUGAGAUUUUCAAAUGCAAAUACACAGCACAACCAAUUCAGAGACCUUUGUGUUUGAAGCCUUAAAUUAUUUUUCAAACCAUGUAUGGAAUUCAAGAGUGGCCACUGAGUUUAAAUGUGGGGUCAAGAACAGAAAUCAGCGUUAAGCUGUGAAUUUCAAAGAGCUUUAAGCAUAGCCUAAGUUAAUGACUCCAGAAAUGCUAAUUGCUUUUUAAUAUUAUGGUCCACAUCCGCAGUCUGAAAAUAUAUAAAAAUAACAUUUCUCAAUACAGAAUAUUUACUUACAUUCAAUGAAAGAGAGGUUUAAUUAGUGCACUAUUAACUUUUCAACCGCAUUUAGUUUCUUUCUCCAGUGGAAAGCCCAGCUGCUAAUAAUCAGAGCACUUUACCUGUUAUUCUCUUCUUCUCUCCCAAGUCUAUCUCCAACCAUUCACGACUACUGCUGUGGUUAGAGGCCCAAGCCAGUCCCAGGACUUGAAGCCACGCCUUGUCAGGAGUCCACUGGAAUAGCUGUCCAAAUUCAUUGGUCUCCUCCCAGUAGGAAGAUGCAGUGAUCUGGCUCUUGGAGAGGAAUCCCUCUUCCAGACUGAGAGAUCUAUUGCAGCCUAGGAGUCCCAACACAGACACGCGUAAGCAGUUAUUUUGCAUUUUAACAGUCUAUUUUCAUAUUAGGCAGACAACAUAUGAAGACCAUUCACAACAGCCAAGCCAGACACUGCCUAAUCUGGUGCUAACCUGAUGCUAUCCGUUAGUGUUUGCCAGUCAAUUUAUAGUGGAUAAUCCAGUACCAGAAUGCUGCAGUCCCUCUCCUUCACAAGUUGGCUCCUACAUACACGCUUUCUGACUACUGGAUCUGUUAUUUUUAAUUUGUCAUUUUGGUUUUCAAUCUCUGCAGUAUUGUUUUGUUUAUGUGAAGACUUCUUAUAUUUUAUUUUUCUCCUUCUGAAUCAUAAUAUUUAUGUUUAGAGUUUGGCAUUAAUUAAUUUCGCUGUACAAAACAUUUCUAAAAUGAAGGCACUUUACUGGAAGGAAUGCUUUACUGUAAAUAUUUCAUGUUUUUUACCUGCAAUUAGAGCUAGGAAAGUUCCUCAUUAAUGAAACUCCUUGAUACCACUGCCAAGAGGUGAUAUCAUGAAGGUAAUAGCUUCAGGUAAGCAUUACAAAAUCCACCAAAGAACCCACAAAAUAUCUGCACAUCAAGGUUCUUCAGAGAGAACAGGCCAGUGCAAUAUGGUUUCAAUGAGUUAAAAAUAAUUUCCUGACAAUUACAAAGGCCUCUACGUGUUCUGAAGUUUUCAGUGAAUAGUAAGUGAUUUUAUCUAAGAUGACUGAAAUAUAAUUCAAAUGAAUGAGCAUGAACUUUUUCCCCUGCUUUUAUAUGUUUUAUGCAAAUUAACAGCUCGACAGAUUAAAGACAUUCUGCAUCUUUGAAAGUCAUAAACAAAAGCUAGUUCUGUAUAAGUUCAGUGUAAAUAUACCUCCAUCCCUCUGUAUGUUUUAGUUCUUGUAUAAUGAAGAUGGAACUUAUAAGUGUCUGAAGAAAAACUGCUUUCAUUUUCUGCCACCUAAAGUACAUAAAAAUGGAAUUAUCUGAUUGCCAUUUUUUCAUAUGCUAGCACCAGAAACGUAAUAUCAAGAAUGCUAUUCCUGUUUCUCAUCUAUGUGCAGACGACUUAUUCCUAUUCUGUUUUUUUUCCAGCUCACUUCACCUCCCUUCUAUUUUUUAUUCAACCUGCCAAUUUAAAAAAAAAUAACUGUCCUAAAAUACCUUUUCUAGACACAGCCUAAUGUUCUUCUGACUGCUUUUCAAAAGUUUUGAGGAAAUACUUAAAUAAACAGGCAAAAAUAAGGCCAUUAUUCUUACCAUUUGAAGUAAACAUAAACCGCUUAUCUGACAGCGAACCACUGUAAGAAAAAAAAGGUAAUUCAGCCUUUGAGGAAACAGCCAUAGGAAUGCUAAGAAAUGGGUGGCUUUGGUGCUGUACAGAAUAACUUUUUAUUCAGCAAAGUAUCUCUGGCCAGGUAACUGUUUGCAGUGCUUUGGACUAUCUAUCCCUCUGAGCACUCUCGUGCCUGCCAUGCUGUGACAGAAUCCAGUGCAGUUCUAGCGGCUUACAGCAUUUGCUCUGACCUAGGAUGACUGCCCAUCUCCCCACCCUGUAACUCUUUCCGUGCACUUUUGCUUCGCUCCUCUGCACAGGAUCUUAAACACCGCUGCAAAAUCUUCUGCCUCCCGGUCCUCAGACCAGCAAAAUCAAAGCAUGCUGAAGAAGCCAGGAAAGCACUGCUCCAGCAUAAGGCCAGGUUCUUCUCACGUCAGUUUAAAUUAGAGGAACUUUACUGAAAUCAGUGAAUUUCUAUUGGUGUAAGCCCACACUGAUAUAAAUUCACAUUGGUGUAAAUUCUCAUUGGUGUAAGACCACACAGGUGUAAGAAAAUUGCCUUAGGACCAGUGAAAGAGUUAUGCAUGACUAUGACUAAUGCACAUUAGCUCCGGCCAUUCCUUUUGGCUAAAUGUGCCUCAGUCAGGCAAUGAAAACUGCCCAUUGCUUUAAUCUGGCUCAGAUUAAACAGAUUACAUUCAGAUUAACAGUUUGGUUCUGUUAUAACCACAUUCAACAGGUCUUCUUAGGAGUUCUUCUUUUUGCUCUGUUAACACAUCUGUGGUUUUCCUAUUCUUCCCUGUACCACGGGCUACUUCUGGAGAAAAAACAUUUCUUGGGCCACCCUCCACAACCCUGCACAACACAGAACAUCACCCAAUGACUAUAGCAUGGAAAACUGUGCUCUCAGCCUCCUCAUGGAGUCACUUUCCCUUCUGAUUCUCACUGAGAUCCCAAAAUGAUUCCUUCAGUUGUCUUCACAACAAAAAUAGAAGCUUGGGUUUCAACUUGAAAUUCAGAUUUUCUGAAAAUCUUGCCCCUUCUGUGCUGCUCCAUGUGGCCUCAUGCAUCAGGUGCCCCUCUGAAAGCUCUUGGUCAGUGUGAUUGAGUGGAGUACUCCAGCACUGAGCCAGCUCCAUCAGGCUGCCCUUUGCUGUCAGCCAGGAACAUUUCAGGUUGCCCAGAGAGGUGAUAGGUGUCCCAUCCACGGAGACAUUUGAGGCCAGACUGGCUAAGGUUCUGAGCAGCCUGAUCUAGCUGUAGAUGUCCCUGUUCAUUGCGAGGGAGCUGGACUAGAUGGUCUUUCAGGGUCCCUUUCAAUUCAAAUAAUUCUAUGAUUUCCUCAGAGGUUACCCUAUAGAGUCUAACAGCCUACAGCCUGGGAGCGGUGCAUGCAGCCAUAUGGUUUUUAAGUGCUGCAAAUCAGGAAGUGGAAAGCGGUCUGGUGUCAAGGUCAAUAAGAACACUGCUUCUUUUUGUUACUGAGGGAAAGCCAAUGCCUGCAGGCAAAAGAGGCCCUUUGGGGUGAGGGAGAGCACUGGGAGGGAGCAGAUCUAUUUGGGCACGUAGGCUGUGGAGUCACUGGGAUGAUAAAUUCAGCCCCUCCCUCCCACAUCCUCCCUGAGGCGAUCCUCAUGGGCCAUCAGAUGUGUUCUGCUUGCUUCCAGCCAGCUCGGAACCACAGCCAAAACCAUUUUUGCUUGCUUAGGGAACACAAAACAAUGCGCUUCAAGAGAAGAAAAGAAAAACUGACUGUGAUCAGUAAAACCUACUCAAAACAGAAGCAUUUCUCGAAUAUGUAUUUAUGUGCUAUCCCUCUGUAAUAAAAAAAAAUCACUGAGCUCCCUUUCAAACUACAGGACUGCAAUUUUAGCAACCAGAGGGAGGAAGUUAGGCACUUCUAAUACCUGUAAAGCUAUAAAAUUGGGCUGAAAUAUUUCUGCAAUAAUUCUGCAAGUCACUGAAGAAGACAAACUAAUUCACUAAGUGGCAAUUCAUCAGUUUCAUAAUGUGACAGGUGGCAUUUGUCAUACAAAUUUCACUUUGUCCUCUAAGGGAUGGCAUCAUCUCAUGCUCUUCGUUUUCCUGCUUAGCCAGCAGCACCGCUGUCAGGACUGCAUGGCAGACCUGUGCUGGUGCCUCUGAGAAAAAAAAGAAAAGAAUGCUGCUUCACAUUAUAAACUUAUGUAAACCUCAAAUCCUUUAUUCCAGCAUCUGUCCCAAGGAAGCUUUUUAUAAGCAGCACAGGUUAACCUAAAUCUCAUAUUCAUAGUUCACAGGCAUGCGGGCUCUUCCAUUUUCACAGGCAAAUGACUUCACAUGUGCAGAUGUACAGUUACAGGCCUCGACAGGCAGCUCACAUUACAAAGUUAAACCCCAUAUAUUUGUCCUCAGGUAGCAGAAAUGCUCAGUAAAUCCCGCCACUUGAUAUUCAUUAUAUCAUUUGUGGGUUCAGGUCUGCACACGGGGCGUGAGAGUUAGCAAUCUCAUAGAUAACAGAGCAUAACAAGCUCGUUGAAAAAUGGAAUCGGGGAGGCCAAGGUCAGGUCUUAAGGGCUGGCAAGUGAACAAUUCAUAGCUCUGCUGGUACUUUAUAACAUAGAUAUUUAACAGCUCGGUGCACACAAGCAGCAGCUUUGACGAGGUCAGUUUCAGCUCAAGUCACUAAAUAAUUUAAAUCUUUAAUACCGAAAUCCGCUAUAAAUGAGAUUUUUAAAAACUCGAGUAAGCUUUCACUUAAGGCAGGAGAAGAAGCUGGUACAACACUGCUAUCCUCACACUUGUUUUUCCUUGCUGGUGCUGGCAAGGAAAAAACAUUCCUAGGAAUGUAUUGCAGUGCGGAGGUGUCCCAAGGACAGGGAAGCUGGGCAGCUUUGGGAAUACAUGUAGUAAAAACUUUUUUAAAGCAUGAUGUGCCCUUUUUCAUUUUCACAGUAAAUAGGCCAUCUGCUUCCAGGUACACAUUUCCAUGUUUUGAAAUAAAAUGAUGUCCCUGCAUCCCCCCCAGUUUACCUCCCUUGGAACAAUGAGGUCACAGCAGCAGUUCAUCUGCUCCAGGGACCGUCCCAGCCACCAGGGGCAGCAGCAGUAUUCCAAGAAUCGCUGUUCUCACCUUCCUGUGUUUCUACAAAUUACGCAUCUCACUUGUAGGCAUCUGAUACGCUAGGAGCCCAUGUACCUUUGUCUCUCUGUAUGAUCUGCAGAAAGCAUUGGUUGAUCUCUCAGGGCAAACCCAUUCCUUCGGGACAGCACUGUCCUUGAGGAGUACCUCUGUCCACCCGCAUGUGCGGAAGGUGAUGGCACUCCUCACUGGGGUGCUCUCUGUGGAGCCUCGCACUAACUGGGAUGAAUCCAAGCCAGGAGGCCUGUUUCAGCACAGGAGUACACACCUUGGCUCUUGUUUGAGUCAGUAGGAGUUCUGUCACUUGAUGUAACAGUUUUUUCCACCUCUGUGGGCACUUUGAUUACUCACACGAAGUAGAUAACUCAUUCUGAGUAGCAACAAUAAAAGGAUGCUUGGCAGUGAAGUUCAUGGGUUAAUUAUGCAAACAGUGUUUUCCCCCAGCACAUCUACAUUUGCUGUCUUCUACGCUUCAUUCGUUGCUCACUAACUCUUGUACUGUGAAAAAAUACAAGUGGGAAUCCCAGCUGUCUUUCAUUAUACCAUUUCAUGUGCUACUGUCUGAGUUACUCCUGAGAUUCUCAAGCAUACAAAUGUAUGUAAACGGUUCUACAACCUCUGUAGUUAAGGCACAAAAUAUUUAAUUUCUUAGGGUUUCAUAAGGCUGGCAUGUGUGAUGGAAAUAAUUUGUAUUGCUUGCUUUACGCAAAGGCUCACUGCUGAGCUGAGCCCUCAGUCCUGCUUUCCUUGAUACAAGAUCGUAUCAUUUUUCCAUAUAUUUUAGCUGUGAAGCAACAUACUUAAGAAAAAUAGAAAAUAUUUAGGCUUUAGAGGCCUUCUGCUAGUUGUCUGUAUGCUACUCACUUUGUAUUCAGCUACCCACAGUGCCGAUAUACAAAGACUUUCUACCUGUACCUAAGAUUAAGCACAGCUAUAGACAGAAUGAAUGCCUAUGUCUUCUGUUGGGUUCACAAAGUGAAUGUGGCCAGGGUCAUUGGGAACAAGGCUUAAAAAUUAAACAUUUGAUUACAUAUUUUGCUUAUCGCCUGCAGGAGUGAGAUGCAUAUACAGAUAGCUUAAAAUUAGCUUUGAUUUUGGUACCGGCAUGUUUCACAGUGAUUUCAUAAUUGGUCUGCUUGUUCUGCUUCACUAAGAGAAGGGAGAAGCCAAAUGUUUACAGAAUGGCUGAUAUGGCUCUGUAGGAUUUCUUGUUCCUUUUUUUUUUUUUAACAUAUGAAACAAUUAUUGUUAAAUUGUCGGGAGGACGACGAGCAAACAUGGGGGAAAUAGGAAAAAAUUGAAAAGUCAUAUUCCCUUGGCUCUUAUAGUCAAUGGGAGUGAGGAGAUUUUCCUUCCCAUAAGAACAAAUGCUUAUUGCAAAACCCAGAUAACAUUUAGAAAUUCAAAAUACGAACCAACAGAGAUGACAGAGGCAGUUGCUGGAAGGGCUUACUGCACUGGAUAGAGAUUAGAGGAUUUAUUUCUACUUCAACAACAGUGCAAUUAUAAAUCAGAAAAUAAGUGUUAAAUAUAACACCCUUGCCAUAAAUAUUCUAAAAGAGAAAAAUUCUGAACAUGUCAAAAGCACAAUGUUUAAGAAGGUAUUCACUAAAUCCCCUGUGGCUCAACGGCACUUUCUAUUUAUUUAUUAUUCCUAGGUGGUUUUUUUUUUCCACUUUAACAUGAAUUUAGCAUGAUUUAUUAGUACAUCUAUUUAAGAUGUUUGUUGCAGAACAUCAUACUUUCACGUAUCUGCUAAAAAACUAAUUUGCAAAUGUAUUUUGGAAGGAAAGGAAGAAAAGAGAGAGAAGAUACAGUCCUAAACUUUAUAAAGCCACAUAAACUAAAAACAUUUGCCUACAAUCUCUGCCAACACUAUGUUAAUAAAGCCAUAUAGACAAACCCACAAACCCCCAAAACCGGCAGCUGACACAUCCUUCCCCAAAAAGCACUGGUGUGGUGUCUCCCCUCCAUUUGAUGACCUGGCCAGUACACUGGGCUCUGGGACUGCACUCAGAGCCAGUGGUGGGUAAGUUAAGUUCCUUCCCAAAUCCCCGUGCCCCAGCAAUACUCACUCAUGUGAGGAAAUACCAUUGGCGACAACACCUUCAUAGCGGCUGAUACCCUUCUGCUGGGUGACACUGAUCUGACCGCCCAGUUCAUCUGCAAUAACACCUGCAUGUAUCGCUGACUUGCACAGCAGUGAGGUCUGAAAAGUAGAAGCCAUCAAAACCCCAAACUGAGAGGGCAAAUCUGACAAAGUGGUAGUGCUCUCACUUCCAAGCCACCGCUACAGAAGUGUUAGAGCUCAUAAAGUUCUGCAAAGGAAUGAGAGCAAUAGGGAGAGACUUAAAGAGAAAGAAUAGUUAUCUUUGAAAAAAAAUAUAUGCUUCCAAAAGUCAAGUUUUUCUCAAAUGAGGAAUGUAAUCAUCUGGUUCUAGGAAAAUGUGUUGAAGUUUUCACUUGAUAAAUAUUUGGCCCACCUCAGGAAAACAAAGGUAAAGGCAAAGCAACCACUCUUCUUUGCAAAGAGAAAACAAUAAUGGCUCUUGUGGACUUACCUGAAGCCAGACCUACCUGUUACUGCAUAGUGCCUUAAGAUUUGAGGCAUGGCAUGCAUUGGGAAAUGUGGCUGUUUGUCAUUCACAUGGGGCCAGCUUGGGCACCUCUAGCACCUGGCAAGCAGGGCUGUCUGCCUGCCCCUUCCAGGGAGGACUGAUGUGCUGGGAUUUUGGGGUAGUAGGCCUCCAGGGAGUCCUGGAGGUCUCUCCCAUCAGAAAAGCUGAAUCUGUGUUAAUGGUGGAGGGAAGAUUUCCUUCAAAAACUCCUCCACCUAGAUAACAUCUGCAUGAGGUCAUGUCGUUUGCUGCUUUUCUUUCCCAGUCACCCUGGACAGCAGGAAUAACUCCUAAUUAGAAUGCAAUGUGGCAUUUCUUUGUUUUUUCAGCUCUGCCAUUCUCCUGGAUGGGGUGGUGUGCUUGAGUAACUGGAUGAACAGGUUAUGCAUGGACUUUCUGGAGACUCAGCAACUGCUUUAUUUGUGAUACGGUGGGGUUUUACUUCAGUGGUAGGAUUAAUCUUCACUCCAAAAGAUGUCAAGAUUUCAGAGGCGUAGAGGGAGGUGAGACCAAGGUGAGGGGCACAGGAAAGGCAGGGCAAUGUGUGAUAGGAACCAUGGAUAAAUGUAAGUACUCAGGCAGCUUUGUUUUAAAGAGUGAACAGUUAAAAACCGAUCCAAAAGGUUUUUAGUUAUUGGUGGGAUGUGAUUGGACAGUGUAAAAUAUUAAUUUCAUCUCAGAGCAUGUUCCUGCAAUACUGAAGGCAGAAUCUUAAAGAAAACCCACAAGUAACAGAAAUGCAUUUUAUUCCUAUAAGAGAUAACAUUAGAAAAGAAAUGCACGUGGAUUUUAAACAAGUAUAACGUGAAUUUGUAGGAAUAUUUAGGACAUCGAAGAGCACUGCCUUUAGAAGGAGAAAUCCUAUGCAUCCGAAAGACCUGGAGUUGGUAGGUUAGUUUGACAAUCAGUGGACUUUGUUCUCACAUAACUGAUUAGUCUGUUUGAACAGUAUUUCAGUACCUGUUCGAUGUAUGCUGAUAACAUUAUAUACUGAUAGUAGAAUGUAACACAGCUGGGAAGAACUAUUUACAAAAGCCGAGCAGCAAAAACUGAAACCAAACUGUGCUAUGUAACGGAGCAAUGGAUUGUCUUUUCUGUUUUUAUUAAGUUCCUCUCUUUAUAUUGGGUACUUACAUCUCUGUAUCCUUCUUCUAUGUUCCCAGAAAUGUCACCUGCUAUGUCUCUGCAGCCAGCAGGACAGUAUCUGCUGUAGUAAAAGAAUAAGGCUUAUUUAAAACCUGGACUGUCAUGAUGAUACACAGAAACAAGCCCAUGCAAAAUAAAUACUCUCAGACCCAUAGAUAUUUCAGCAAUAUGUUCUGGCUGACUGUUCAUUAGUGAUUACAGAAGGUAAACAGAAGUGCCCUUGAGUGGACUGCACAUGGCAGCACACAAAGGACUGCAAUAGCAGUUCUUCAAGUGUAUUUUGUCCAAUCCUGUUGUUCUAGGAAUGUUAUUACUCAAGCUUUCAGCCCAGAUAAGAAGUCUGCAUGCACAUCCAAGCAAGUAACCAGCAAAGUACAAUUAAUUACCAUUUCAAAUCCUAUCGAGGAGCCCAGAAAUUAUAGCUUGUCCUCAGAUGAUCUUUUAUCAGCUGAGGCAUGAUCUGCUCUCAGGAGAUGCCAUAGUAUUCAAGGCUACUUUGAAUUUCAAAGUGGAAAUUCUUUUUACACAUACCAUAUGCAUACAUUCCCAAAUGAGGAUUGCUGAGAGCUCUGUAACAAUAUCCUCUUGUUUUCCUGGGCUGCAGAUUUCCAUUCUGCACUAGUGCUUCACACAACGAGGCCUGACGCUACUGCAGUAUUGUAGCUCAAAAACAUUUACUUUUCCAAAAAACUAAUACCGUACAUGUCUUAUGUGACAUUUUACGGCAGUUGGACCGGGUGACACAGAAAAGUAAGAAGCAGUGAAGAAAGAUAUAGACCUUCUUUACCUGUAUUCAGUCUUUGUGUAGUGGUUUGCUCGUUCCAGACAUGUGAUUAGGUCUGUGGAAAGUUUACAAAUGUCAAUCCAAGUUGCAAGACAGAAACGCAGAAAAAUGUUUGGUUAAACAUGAAAUUGUGUUUGAAGACUUCUCUGUAUAAUACUUAGAGAUAAAACAACAGCUAUGGUUUUCCCUCAUUCUUUUCAUCUCCCUCUUCUGCUCAUGUUUUACAUACUUUCAACAAAGAUGCAUAGGAACACACCCUACAGUAUUAAAUGUAGAUUUUGUCUCUUCACCUCUCUGAUCUCUUUAUCCUAUCACUGUGUGGUAAAAGCCCUGAAUACAGACGGUUCUCGUUUUCUGUUUCACUGAGCCUGUUCUGCAAAUUAUCUAGGUAAGAUUUCAGCAGCUUUUGUAUCUGCUUAAUAUUAUUAUUGCUUCUCACAUACAUGCUGUCAAAAAGAUGAUAUUUCAUGCCAAUAAGACACCUGAAAAUAUUUAGGACCAAAUAUAUGAGCCAAAGUCUGUGUGUAGAGAAGAUAAUGAAUUAGGGAGGACUAUGCUGUUUGUCCUUAGAUAAAGUGCUUUACCUGGAUGAUCACUGCUGGCAUAAGACAACAGAAAGCCUCGUCCUGAUACAUGGGAUCCACUCUCAAAGUGGAUAGUUGCUUCAUUGCUGUCCAGAAUGAUUUCUUUGGGGACAGGCAUCAUGUUGCCACAGUAGGGUCCUACAGACAGAAUGAAGAUUUCAGAGUUUAGAUGAGAUAGUUAGGCUGGAAUAUUCUCAUGAUAAACAAGGAAUUUCAUAACAUGCUCAUUCUCCUUCAGUACCAAUCCACAUGUUGACAAAAGGGUUGUAGCUUCAGUCCUUUAUGAGUAUGAGCUCCAAAGUUACUUUGACAAAGAAUGGCAAGAAUCCAAUUGUCCCUUCAUGGCAUGAUUUCUAGCAUUAACAUCUCUCAUCGCAUAAGCUUCAAGAAAAUGAUUAAUACUCUUCCACCUUUGAAGUAAAGUGUUCUUAAAUACAGCAGUAACCCAGGAGAGGAAAGAAUGGAAUGAAUGUUGAAAGGCAAUCCAAGGGAUCUACACAGGAUCUGCUAUAGCUGCUUCAGCAUAGCAGCUGUUCUGAAAAGCUUAGGAUCACAAACAGCACACCUGGUCUUAAAGGAUGUGUGUGCCACGUGUCAAGUUUAUGAGCAAGAACUACUUAGAAAAUUUCUGCAUUUAUUUGCGUUUUAAAAACAUCACCAGACCAUUGAAAUAUAUAAUUCAAAUUUCCUGAUUUUAAGACGAAGUAAAGAGGGACAGGAAGGGAGUAGGAAAAGGAGACACGAGUCUUGUGCCUGCACUGAAUUAGAUAAUGGUUUUAUAGCUACCAACUGCAGUAUCUUGGAGCACUCCUCAGGACACUCCUUUCUUGUCCCAGCAGGCACGUCCGGGACUCUCACAAUUACAUUUGCUUCUUCAGAAGUCACUUCCUGAGGGGAGCUUUCUUUUGAAACUGCCAUAGUCUUGCCUUCCAUCACCACACCUGGGUGCAAACACUUUUCUCUGCCUGCCCUCAAGCACAGAGGACACAGGAAAUCAAAAGCAGUUUAGAUACACUUUGAAUUUAAGGGGAUGCUUACAAUAUAAACUGCUAAUAAGAGGUUUUGUAAAAUGGCAAACACUUUCCUACUUAGAAGCCCUCAGACCAUCUAUUAUGUUGAGAAUUAUAACAGCUUUUGUAUAAUAAAGCAAGACCUUGGGAUGGAAAAUGAUCCCUUUGAUUUUUUCCAGAACAAUCUCAUUUUCUUGGUGGUGGAUACUUUAUGGUACCUUGGAACUGAGAUUACAAGAAAUUGCAAUCAAAGUACAGCACAAAUUUGAUGAGCCUUCUGAACAGGUGUCUAAAAGCCCCUUCAUUUUGUUUGAUACUCUUGAUAGGGGGGCCUUUCCCAAAUACUUAAUCAGCCUUAUAGCAGCUAGGAGAUCAUCCUGUAGAGUAGCCCAGUCAGAGGCAAUGACAGCCAGCUGUCAGCAGAAGGGGACAAAUUAAAGGACUUUGACUUGUAAAAUUAUAACAAAGCCAGGCAGGCAGAGAAACAAGCAACAAUUGUGACAUCUCCCUCGAGUACUCCUGUGUCGAAAAUGAGUCACGACUUAGUCAGAGAAAACAAUAUCUACAAAAAAGGUUAAACAAAUUGCUUAGGAAAUGAACUUAUCAAAAAGACAGCAUUUGACACUGUGUCAUAUCAGACAACUGCACGAGUGGUUUAUUUGAGAAGGUCUUUUGUGUCAGAAUGCAGUGGGAGAAGUGCUAACUUAGAACUUUAUUUUUCUUCCGAAGUACAGGAAGAGAGAAAGAGAGAAAGGGGAGAAGACAGGAAGGCGUUGUGCUUCUUCAAAUUGAAACACCUGAGAAAGCAUUAGUCCUUUUCUUGUCUCAAGGACUGACUGUAUUUUUUCUCACCAAUGCUCUUCUGCUUUUUCCCUGACAGCGAUUAGCAGUGACAUACCUACUCUGUAGGUAUAAUUUUGAUCUCUGACUCACUCAACCACACACUGGCUGGGUCAGGAUUAGCUGUCUCCUCCAGUAGCAAGUCUACAUGUGUUCGAGGUAAUUAUACAAACAAAUCACAUGACAUAAGUAAAAGUGAUAAAAUAAAAUAAGUCUAGACUCAUAGAGUUGUAUAAUAUGAAAGCCAAUAAUUCAGAAACAGAUUAAGAAAUCAGCACGCAAUGCCUGAAGACGAGUUUACACUUUUAAGUAAUAAAUCCAAUGAGGGUUACAAAUCUGUGGUUAUCUCCUACUUCUGUCAAGGGUAGUUCUGGUGUACCCAGAGACAAGUGUGUGGCCCUAAUCUAAGGAGAACUAGGAUCAAUUUAGUUUAUCAUAAAGGAUAUAAAAGCAAGAAACAGUAACCACUGAAAAAAUCAAUGCUUUCCAAAAUUGUAUGAAUUACCUAUCUGCAUAGAUUUAAAAAACAACAACAACAAAAAAGCAGAUAUUAAUACCAGAAAACAUUCACUUGUUCCCUCAUUGCAAACAGAUGAAGCCUUGCAAAGUAUUUCAACACAGUUCUUCCCAAUAAUUAAGGUAAUAUCAGCAAUACACAGCCAGGUCAUCAAACUUCCAUGAUAUCUAGUAAAGCUUAAUUGCAUGCAUGCCAUCAGAUACAGAAAUUUGCACCAAGAACUAUGGUUUAGAAAAGGGUACAAGCACCACCUCACAUCCCUACUGCUGUUAUUUGAUAUACUUUUUUUGCUUUUUUAUGUGAAAGAACUACAAGCAUGCGGCCAAGUUUUUGAAAAAGUGUCAUUCAUCUCUCUUCAGUGUUUAAUAGUGAGCAAUGCAAGCACACCUGAUUUACUGAGUAACAUAGUUUUCUGUUUAGCACCUAAACUCUCCAUUUUGCCUGGUUUUGCAGUGACCUUUUGACCUCUGAUUCUCAUUUUCCCUGCAAUCAAUUCAUUUUACAUCAACAGUCUUUCAAGAAAUUCCCCACGUGAAAAUUGGUAAUUCUUACUAAAUAAAAUGGAUUUGGGGUCAAGACAGCUCUUUAGGUUCAGUUUGGACUGAAUUCUCAGUUUGGAGAAUUUUAUGUUUCUGUUUUCUAAUUUCCUUCAGAAAAAUAAUGAGACUUUUAAACUAAACGCACUCUUUCCUAUGCACUUGCAGCACAGCAGCUCUCCAUUUGUUUCAAUAUUAUAAAUCUAGAGAAAUCAUACUCUUCCAGCCUUCUGACAUUUUGGUUCAUGCUGCGCCUGAGUGAGAUGCACAUUCUCUACACACAGUAGCACCCAGCAUAUUUGCUCUCCACUGACAUACCUAGUGUCCCUUUGAAUAUACACAUUAGGAGAUUUUAUAGACAUUAGUAGAUUAAAACCCACCAGCACCUGUAGCAAUCCUACUUAAACUGAAAGCUGUAUUUCCUAGGCAGUAUUUUCCACUUGCAAUCGAGGUGACAAGAUCAUGGAUCUUUAUCACCUACUUCUAAGACUCACAUACUCUCCCUCUUUUCUCUGAGUAUUCCACAUAGAAUCUGUUGACAGCCUGUCUACAUGAAUACUGAGCAACCUCAGUGGAGAAGAGGGAUGAAGGAGAAAUCUUUGGUUUGUGCCCAGUUUAAAAGGGAGAAACUCAUUUAAAGGUCUUGUUAACUUUUAUUGCAGCAUUUGGACUUGACUCUGGAUAAGCGUUUAAUUUCUAAACUUGGGACUAUGCCAGAAGUUUUUAAGAUUCCUUUUGAAAACUGCCAGAUCACUUUAUCAGAUUUUCAUCUUCUAAAGUUAGUUGUGAGGUGGGUUGCUUUGCAUACUCAGCUUGAAAAACAAGUCAUAAAUGCUGAUCUCCCUCCUCGCUUCCUCUUUCAGUGACUCUGCUGGAUGUCUGCUAGGGUAAGGAGAAGGCAGGGUUGUUUGGUUUGUUUACUAAGAACAAAGGAAUGAUUUUGAUUUAAUAAACAGAUGUGUUAUACGUCA